rnacentral:lncRNA from 1 species
GAUAAGUGUCAAAUCUACUUAAUUUUCAUAUCAUUCUUGGGCACUUAUUAGGGUUAGAAAUGUGAAAUAACUAUCAAAUUUACCCUCAAUUGUGAUGAUAUGGUUUACUAGAGGUCCUUGUAGAAUUUAAGUGUUAGUUAUCAAAUUUUGAUGUAGGAAUGAAUUGGGAAUGAAGAUUUGCUUCAAAGAGGCUUGAAUCAUAAGAAAGCAUCAAAGAAUAGUGCUUGGCUCAGAAGUUUGCUCAAGCCAUCUUGCAACAGAAGGUAUUGAAUGCUUGGCUCAGAAGUUUGCUCAAGCCAUCUAGCAACAGAAGGUUUUAAGUGUUUGGCUCUGAAGUUGGCUCAAGCGAAUAUUUGGUCGCUUGAGCGGUUGAAAGGCGGUUCCCAGUUCUUCCUUCACGUUAAAGAAAGAGUUCGCUUGAGCGAACUUUGGACCGCUUGAGCGAACAAAGCUGUUAUAAAAAGAACCCACCAUCGUAUUUUACAGGGACAGCGGAAAAAUUAGGGAAAAAGACUACAGAACUCGUAGAACAAAGGUGAAGAAGAUAGUUUGGACCUCUUUGAUCAUCCAUCGACGUGGGAACGCUCGGCGGACAUCACGGAUCGUCAUCAUCUUCUUGUUUCUCUUUGUAAGCCUUAAAGCAUCCAUGGAAAUGGAUUGCUAAACCCUUUGUGUUGGGAUUGGAUGUAGUCUUUUAACUUGAAUGUAUUGACUUUGAUUUCCAUGUAUAAAUUCAUGUUUCUAUGUGAUGAUUUCAAUGAUCUAUCUUGAUCUUAAUGCUAGUUUUAGAGUGAUCAACUAGAACUUGAUGUUAGAUUUGAUAAAUUGGUGGAAACUACUUCAUUGAAUCUGAAAUAGAUGAGAUCAUCUAUUGAAUCUAAGGCCUAGGAAUAGGGUUAGCUCAAUAGUCAUAUAACACCUAAGUUUAAUGCUACUUGCUUGCUUAAUUAUUCAAGGAAUUGAUGAUUAGUUAGUAAGUUGUUGAUCUCUUUCAUGAGGGAACUAUGAAAAAGAUAAGAUGUGGUGUGAUGGAAUCGAACAUAGGACAUGGUUUGUUUAUGGAAUCAUAAGAAUACUGAAGAGUUAAUUGAUGAACUCCAAUUCCAACCGUUUUCUCCGCUUGUUUACAAAUCAUUUACUAUUGCUUUCUUUUAAUUUUGCAACGCAGCACAAAACAAUCAACUAAACGUUUCUUGACUCUUUGCUUAAGUGAUUUAGCUAGAGAACGGCAUUGUAUUCCAAUUCCCU